AUUGAACGCUGGCGGCAUGCCUUACACAUGCAAGUCGAACGGCAGCGCGGACUUCGGUCUGGCGGCGAGUGGCGAACGGGUGAGUAAUACAUCGGAACGUACCCUGUUGUGGGGGAUAACUAGUCGAAAGAUUAGCUAAUACCGCAUACGACCUGAGGGUGAAAGUGGGGGACCGCAAGGCCUCACGCAGCAGGAGCGGCCGAUGUCUGAUUAGCUAGUUGGUGGGGUAAAGGCCCAACAAGGCGACGAGCAGUAGCUGGUCUGAGAGGACGAUCAGCCACACUGGGACUGAGACACGGCCCAGAAUCCUACGGGAGGCAGCAGUGGGGAAUUUUGGACAAUGGGGGCAACCCUGAUCCAGCAAUGCCGCGUGUGUGAAGAAGGCCUUCGGGUUGUAAAGCACUUUUGUCCGGAAAGAAAUCGCGCUGGUUAAUACCUGGCGUGGAUGACGGUACCGGAAGAAUAAGCACCGGCUAACUACGUGCCAGCCGCCGCAGUAA
rnacentral:rRNA from 1 species